AUUGAGGUAAAGUUGCUUUGGUGAAUAUAGUGUUCAUUUAACAAUUAGUCCAUCUGUCCAACUUGUUCUUAACUUGUUUCUGUUUUGUUUUUUUGCUUAUGGGUCUAACCUUUCACUGACAGUACAGUUGACAGCAGCAUAUCAUAGCCUAUUACCUGCUAAUCGAAUAUCUCUCUACUAUCUUAUAUUUUGCGCUCCUAUUAAUCUAUGCUGGACUAUUGGCUCUAUGUAUAUCUAUGCUGCUGCUUGCAUUCAUGACACUUGCUAUAUGUUUGUGACGGUACUCAUGAGUAAUUCUCACUGUUUCUAAUGCUAAUACAGAGUGCAGCCUUCUUACCAUACACUGACAAUGUUAAUCACCGUCUGAGUUCCUAUGAUAUGGGUUUUCUCACACACAGAUGAUUAUGCUUUACUGUUAUUGCAUGUUAUUUUACUGUAUAUUACAUUGAGUAUUCGAGUAUAUAUACUGUCAAUCUGAAUCACUAUUUUUGUCCUUGCUGAUAUGUAUUUACUUGUCU